rnacentral:rRNA from 1 species
GAACGAACGCUGGCGGCGCGUCUUAAACAUGCAAGUCGAACGAUCUGUAGCAAUACAGGGAGUGGCGGACGGGUGAGGAACACGUAGGAAUCUACCUUGAAGAGCGGGACAACUUUGGGAAACCGGGGCUAAUACCGCAUAGUACAGAGAUGUUAAAGGGCUAGCAAUAGUCGCUUCGAGAUGAGCCUGCGGUCUAUCAGCUUGUUGGUGAGGUAAUGGCUCACCAAGGCUACGACGGAUAGCCGGUCUGAGAGGAUGAUCGGCCACACUGGCACUGAGACACGGGCCAGACUCCUACGGGAGGCAGCAGUUAAGAAUCUUGCGCAAUGGGGGAAACCCUGACGCAGCGACGCCGCGUGAAGGAUGAAGGCUUUCGGGUUGUAAACUUCGGUAGACUGGGAAGAAGAAAUACGUUCGUUGAGGGCGUAUAGUGACGGUACCAGUCUGAAGCCCCGGCUAAUUACGUG